AACGCACCUUGCGCCCUCUGGUAUUCCGGAGGGCAUGCCUGUUUGAGUGUCAUGAAUACCUCACCCCCUCGGGUUUCCGACUGUGGUGGAUUUGGGCGCCUGCCAGUGACAUGGCUCGCCUUAAAUGCAUUAGCAAACCGUGGACGUAAUAAGUUUCGUCUUGUGCGGCUGCUUCCAAUCUCCCUUUGCUGGGGAUGUCUUGCAGAAGACAGAUUCUAUGAUCGACCUCAAAUCAGGUAGGACUACCCGCUGAACUUAA
rnacentral:misc_RNA from 1 species